GAUUGACAUCGGAUCCAGG
rnacentral:rRNA from 1 species